GCUACAGGAAAGCAAUGGAACUUCUCCUCGGAUGUGCUGUACAGUGUGGGCAGCAAAAAUUGUUAACGAAAAAUGUUUCUACAGGGAGAUACAAGAAGCAAACAGGCAUCAGUGGUUGAUACUAUUAUCAGUAGAAUAACAGAGUCCUUAUUUCACCACUUAAGCAAACAUUUCAAGGAAACAGAUUCAACAUCAUAUAUUUAGUAUAAGAUUAAAGCUUGGAAAAUCAAGGAAGAAGAAACUGUUAGUGAUGGGUGAAAACAAAAACAUAGCAGAAUUAUGGAGGAAUAUUUUUACAUAGAUCUGUAGGAAGAGAUCUACUUCGUAUAAUCAAAUUUUCACUUACCAGAAACUUAAAACGAUGAGAUAAUGUUGCUGAAAACUUACUUUCAUGAACACUCGUAUAACUGCAAUUUUACUAUGGAAAAGGAACUACUUGGCCACCACAACAAAAUAACAAACCAAAGCAAAUCAAACACACCCAAGUGGGCGGGUUCGCCUCCCACACACUCCCAUGUUCUGAUUUUAAUUGAUUGAAGAUCGAAAACCCUUAAUCUGAUUUACCGGGUUUAGUCUCCUGUAUCAUCCGUUUAGUAAGACGUGUUUCUUGGAUGAUUCUGAUGUAACAUUUAAGAAUAAAAAAACAAUAAAUAAAAUCUGUGUAAAAAUCCUAAACGUUUAGUCAGCUAAAAGUACUGGAACUCCCUGUAUCAGGCUCUAAAAAGACUAUUCUAAAGAGAAGAAAUUUACAUGAUUUCCCAAAGUAACUCUUGGAUUCAUUCAUGCAAAUCACCGAUAGCAGGUGAUUCCAUGGAAAUGUGGAAAGAUAAGCAAAAUAUGAUCUGGCUGGACCAUGACGUAACCAUUACCCCCUCUCUUGAAAACUUGAGAUGCCUACCUGGAACAUAGGGUUUCAGCAACUCCUUACGAUAACAGCAAGAUCCAGACUGUGAAAAGCAUGAUAGAACUCUCAUACUGUAAGCAUGGACCAAGGAAAAGGACGUUCAGAGAGUGCCACCACUGCAAGAAGAAAGUGAUACACAUGCCAAGGCAUUUGAGGGAUGUAUAAUAAAUGUCACAAGAAACAGCACAUUCUCUGUUAUAGCAGCAGUACCUCACAGAUGACUAAGAGAUGGGGAAACAUAAAACAUGCAGGUAUUUGCACUACAGUGUAGUUAUUAAAGACUUCAGCUAACAUUUUUGUAAAGCGCACUGAUGCACCCUCGCCAUCAUCAAGUAGAGAUUUAUAGAAAACAAAUGUGCAAGCCCCUCCCAGACACAGUGCAAUGUAUUUUGAUGUGUCAGUUGAGUCAUCAGACUCCUAUUAUAUAGAUGAAGACCUUUUUCACAGACAUGAAAACUGGUCAGAGACUUUAGAAGGUGGAAAAAAGGACUAAGGUAUUGCAGCUGUUCACAGGACAACAGUUACUUUUCUUGUGGAAGUAAAUCUCCACAAACUUAUCACUUGCAGCCCUUUUAAGUUUGAGGCACAGAUAGAGCCUCUAGGCAUAAGCCUGGGAUUAUGAUUUGCUACAUUCAUUCUCAUGAAAUUUGUGAAGUUUAUUGAUUUUGGACACUUUGCCCCUGAUUGUCAGUGUGAGACUGAUACCCUCAUUAAUGUUAUACCACUCUGGAAAGCAUUAUUGAAAACAUCAAUAAAGGUAUGUAGAUAUGAGGGGGGUCUAUAUUAGAAGACCGAAUGUUUAGGUAAUAGAACACCUAAACAUCGAUCUUCUAAUAUCGAACCUAAGAAUAUCGGACCCACCAGGGAAACAAGCACAUCGGCCAGUAAAAAAAAAAAAUUUUUACAUCCAAACUAAGUGGGGGGCUUCACCCCCCCCCCCAACUAAAUAUACCAACUCCAAGAUUGUUCAACAGUACUGAAAUGGCAAAAUCUGGCAAAUGGCCAAGGGGAAUCUUUCCUUGCAUUAAAUCGUCCAUUGGACGUCUUUUGCUUUUGAUUAGAAGAUCAGUGUUUAGGUGUUCGAUCACCUAAACAUUUGAUCUUCUACUAUAGACCCGACAUGAGGUAUAGAUAAGAGGCUCAGCAAAAUGCAUAAGCCCUAAAGCACCAUCACUUUAGAAAGCUAUCACCCUUGCCAUGAAGGCAGAAAAGAUAAUCCAUGAACUGCCCACAGCAACAAAACUACGAGACCAGGGGGACAUUAUGACAAGAAACCAUCUCAUAUUGCUGCUAUCAUUCAAAAAUGCACAGAGAUCCAGUGCCCUGUAUAACAUGGCUAUAGGAAACCUACAUUGUGCUGAACUGAUCCAUAUAUAUGAUGUGGACAGUUAUGUCAUUACUGUGAUGUUGCACAACAUGUCUGCCAUCCAUAGUGCAGCUUGUCUAGUAGUGGACAGCACAUUUCAUAAUAUGCUCAUCAACUAAGCCCAGCACACUAGGUGCCUACUGCCAGAAAUGAAACCAUGCCACUAUGAGAGCUCAAUACUGUACUUAUCAAGACUGUUGUAUACAAGAUCUCUCCCUCUGCCAUGUCUAAAGCAACAAAGAAGCAAGCAGCCAAAGCUGGUAUAAUAGAUUUCUUGUUGACGCUGUGGUGAAAAUCCACAGUAGCAAAUGUAACAUCACCCAUUACAUUCUCUUUGGUUCUUUGCUUUGAGGAGGUGCCCCUUAGUAUUCUUUAGAUAUCUUAAUUUGGUUUUACUUUUCCCUAUUGAAGUUUUAUAGGCAGCACCCAGUGAAGAGACUUCAGCUCACUUCCUACAUGGGCCACAGAAGGACAACUGUUGAAACAUAUUACUGUCUGAUACAGAACAAAGAGGAGAGCAUCAGAGCAAGCCAACAAAUGCAGUGCAUGACCAGCCAGGAACACAGUGCUGUAUGCACCCCGUCACAGCCAGGGGAGUGUGAUAAGGAAAAGGCAGCAUUGUUGGGAGACAGCCACUUCAAUACCCUCAAGGAAAAAUAUUAAAGGGUAUUAGCAAGCAUCUACCAAGAAUGCUGACAUAGGACCCAUCCCACAAAAGCACACAUGAUUUAGAAUGCUGCACUACAGAAAUCUAUGCCAAGGACUAGUAUAAAUGCAGAGGAGUGUAGCUUCUCUAUUGUUUGCAGCAUGAUUAAUAAAGUUCACUUAUCACAUCACCUGUAUGA